ensembl:lncRNA
GAGGACCCCACAACUUCAGUCAUCUUAGGGGGGCAAAUAUUUGUAGCUUGGAAGGUUUUAUUGAGAGAAGAUGAGGGGAAUGCUCCCUGGUGGUGGAUAAGCUAUAUGACAUUGCUUAGAGCCACAUCAGCGUUCAGUAGGGAAUCAGAAUGGAGAUUCCUGAAGAUGCUUCUGUUGAAGGCAAAGGUGACCUCCUUUCAGCAGCGUGUUAGUUGGUAUGGCGCGGACAGCUGCUGUGACUGCAAGAGCACCCACCCUACAACAAAGUGUUGGGGAGAGAGGGGAUCCUUGGAACAGCCCCACAUUCUGCAGGCAAAGGAAUGGAUGGGGCAGGGAGAGCAGUCAGACCCCAUAGCUGGGCUUUGGGGUUCCCCUUCAGCCACGUGGGAGCAGUGCUGUGUGUGCACAUCGUGCCAGCAGGAGACAUGCCGUCAGCUGCACCUUCAUCAAAAUAAUGCCAGAAGGGCGACUGGGACCUACCCUGCAGAGAAGGAGCAGAAGCCAUCUACUUACGCUGCUCUAUUGACCUUCUGCUUUUUGGAAUGCAUAUCUUGCAUGGGAUGCAGAGCUAUGAGGUGUAUCGGCUCUUUCCAGGACAGGCUGGAAGCUCAGAAAACGACUGUCGCAUUCUUGCAUAGCCGCAGACACUGAGUACAAUAAAGGUCGAGCCCAAAUCCUGAUGGGGAACAAAGUUAUAACUCAAACAGCUGGAGUUGAGAAAGGCCACUGGCUCUGCUCCAGAAAGCCUGGCAUAUUCUGGUGUUUGUGGAAUAUCCUCUUGUUACUUACCAGGACACACUGCUGGGCCGAGAGCAAGCUUAUGAUGCCGAGGGAUCUCCUGGGUUUGGCUGGGGCAGAAAUACCUCGUGGUUUCUCUACAUCUGGGGGGAAUUAGUAAGUCCUGGAACACAUGAAGAUUAAUAAUAAGAAUAAAAAGCUUUCCUUCCACCCCCCGUCACCUCCUCCCACUGACACAAUUUAAAGAUUUAAAAUCAGUCUGUACCGCGGCCAGAGAUUGGAGUUAUGAUUGUAAUGUUUCCAUUUAGAACAAGGAAAUUGAAGUAGGGCAAUUAAUCAAUAACAAUAUGGGAAAGUACAAACUGAGACAGUCACUUGAAGCUCGCAUGCUUAGCUGGCUGAGGGGAAUUUUAGGAACUUCUGUCUCUUGCUGCCCUAUACGUUUUAUAUUACCAACUUCCAAGCACUGAGAGAAGCAGUGCUUUGUGUUUGUGCUGCUUCACCCAAACCCAUUCAUUUGCAGGGAGCGGAUACUUAAUUAUGAAUAAUCCCAAAGUGUUUCCCUGUCUGUUGUACAAACUGUGCACUCAGGCCCGUUUCAUGCAGCCAUGAAAUGCCAUCAUCCCUCAGGUGAAACAAAGCAACUCUUCAGCAGCACAAAGCAAGGCUGCACAGCAAUUUAGGAAAGGAAGUGAAGAAUAAUGGAUUCAUUUGAAACUGCAGGGGGAUUUUAACUAUGCAGAAUGCAAUUACCAGAACUGGAGUUUAUCCAGGACACUGGGGUUAAGACCCCAUCUAUUAUAAAAGAUGCCAUGGAAUUGCCAGCAUCCUUCCCUUCAUUUCCUAUGUGCUGCUCAUUGGGAUCCUGAGUGCACUCUGGAAGAGGCCAGUCCUGUUUACAUUGUGAAAAAUGAUGGG